GGGGAAUUUUGGACAAUGGGCGCAAGCCUGAUCCAGCCAUGCCGCGUGUCUGAAGAAGGCCUUCGGGUUGUAAAGGACUUUUGUCAGGGAAGAAAAGGCUGUUGCUAAUAUCGACAGCUGAUGACGGUACCUGAAGAAUAAGCACCGGCUAACUACGUGCCAGCAGCCGCGGUAAUACGUAGGGUGCGAGCGUUAAUCGGAAUUACUGGGCGUAAAGCGAGCGCAGACGGUUACUUAAGCAGGAUGUGAAAUCCCCGGGCUCAACCUGGGAACUGCGUUCUGAACUGGGUGACUAGAGUGUGUCAGAGGGAGGUAGAAUUCCACGUGUAGCAGUGAAAUGCGUAGAGAUGUGGAGGAAUACCGAUGGCGAAGGCAGCCUCCUGGGAUAACACUGACGUUCAUGCUCGAAAGCGUGGGUAGCAAACAGGAUUAGAUACCCUGGUAGUCCACGCCCUAAACGAUGUCAAUUAGCUGUUGGGCAACUUGAUUGCUUAGUAGCGUAGCUAACGCGUGAAAUCGACCGCCUGGGGAGUACGGUCGCAAGAUUA
rnacentral:rRNA from 1 species